GCGGCCGUUGGGGUGGGGGUUGGGGUGGGGGACGCGACUGGCGCGGCCGCCGCGAGCGCCACUCAGACUUCUCCCUCUCACAAGUGCUGCGGCUCGGCUUAGUCCUCUGGCCUCCCUGCCCCGCCCACACCCCGGCGUACCUACGCGGCUGAGCUGGAGAGGAACUAGCUCUGCACCACAGCACCGAGGAUAGUACAAACCCCUCACGCAACUGCGUCCGCACACACGCGUGCUCCGCCGCCGGUCUAUAUAACUGCCACUCACCCUAACUUGUUGCGGCCAGGUCGGGCGACGGGAUGACCAAUCCCGACCGCGUCCUCAGGGCUCUUCGAACAGUAAUUGGGCACUGACUCGGGGAUGAAGGCGUGGCUCUUGAUUGGCUUUGACUCCUGCCUAUGAGACUGUGAGGAUCUCGUUUCCCUAGUAACAGAUCGGCACUAAGAGAGACCAAUAACCGAAAAGUACAAUAGAAAGGCAUGUGACCAGGGUCUCCCGCGGAGUUUUGCUGAGAAUUUUGGAAAUGAAGCAUGUGGAGCGCCUAUGUCGGGGGAGAGAGGCCGAGCUGAAGGAGCACGGGCGCCGGCCUCGGCCUCUGGGGAGCCGGGCCCGCUCGCCUCCCUGCGCGGGGCUAGCCCGAGCCUGGAACUCGGGAGGCCCAGGAGCGAAGUGAAAGCCCCUUCUGGUCCCCCAGGGCUCCACUCCCGCAGCAGCCCGGCUCCGUCGGCGUCAGUGGAGCCCCAGGCCUGGGUCCGAGAUGAGCGAGACGCUGCUCUGGCUCGCGGUCGCCCGAGCGCUCCCAAAACCAGGGAACAGGCCCCAGGAGAGAAGCCCCUAGAAGUUUCCUGGAGCAGGGAGUCUCCUGUAUCCUGUUAGCUCUGCAAAGGAAUCUGGACUUUAUUCUGAGGGCCUUGGAGAACCCCUGCAAAGUUUUUUAAAAGGUGGACUAAGAGAUUGGCAUUUCACAACAUGACUCUCCGAAUUGAAACACUAAGAAGAUUGGCGAAAUUUAACAUUUACAGAUUAGUAAUUUAACCCAGGUGACUCGCGAUGAGGGACAUGGCUACCCUUCACUUUUGGAGGGAGUUUUAAGUGAUACAGAUCUUUUUGCCAAGCAAUUUUUUUUUUUUUUUUGAGACGGAGCGUCGUUCUGUCGCCCUGGCUGGAGUGGAAUGCCGUGAUCUCGGCUCACUGCAACCUCCGCCUUCCUGAGUUCAAGCGAUUCUCCUGCCUCAGCCUCCCUAGUAGCUGGGAUUACAGGCGCGCGCCACCAGGAUCUGCUAAUUUUUUUGUAUUUUUAGUAGAGACGGGGUUUCACCAUGUUGGCCAGGCUGGUCUCGAACUCCUGACCUCAGGUGAUCCACCUGCCUCGACCUCGCAAAGUGCUGAGAUUAACAGGCGUGAGCCACCGCGCCCAGCAGCAAUUUAAAAAUCUAAUAAAAUUGUGCAUAUCCCCC